rnacentral:rRNA from 1 species
UACGUAGGGUGCGAGCGUUGUCCGGAAUUAUUGGGCGUAAAGAGCUCGUAGGCGGUUUGUCGCGUCGGCCGUGAAAACUUGGGGCUUAACUCCAAGCUUGCGGUCGAUACGGGCAGACUUGAGUUCGGCAGGGGAGACUGGAAUUCCUGGUGUAGCGGUGAAAUGCGCAGAUAUCAGGAGGAACACCGGUGGCGAAGGCGGGUCUCUGGGCAGCAACUGACGCUGAGGAGCGAAAGCGUGGGGAGCGAACAGG